rnacentral:sRNA from 1 species
ACCACUUUUUAAUCGAGUAGGUGAACGAUAGCUGGUGAUAAGGAAAUUUACGCAAUUAACAUAAGAACAGCUCAUUCAAAGUAUAUGACUAAAGCUUAAUGAAAAUGACAGAUUGCAUAAGUCCAAUAUAAUCGUCUUCAUCUGGUAGGGCACAGAACGCGCAGAUGAUACGUCCGCUCGGCUCGAGCGCGCAAUUCGGAAUAAACACGCUUGCAAUCGUUGCUCUUUAAUUA